rnacentral:rRNA from 1 species
GAUGAACGCUGGCGGCGUGCCUAAUACAUGCAAGUCGAGCGAACAGACUAUGAGCUUGCUCCUCUGACGUUAGCGGCGGACGGGUGAGUAACACGUGGAUAACCUACCUAUAAGACUGGGAUAACUUCGGGAAACCGGAGCUAAUACCGGAUAAUAUAUUAAACCUCAUGGUUCAAUAGUGAAAGACGGUUUUGCUGUCACUUAUAGAUGGAUCCGCGCCGCAUUUGCUAGUUGGUAAGGUAACGGCUUACCAAGGCGACGAUGCGUAGCCGACCUGAGAGGGUGAUCGGCCACACUGGAACUGAGACACGGUCCAGCCUCCUACGGGAGGAAGCAGUAGGGAAUCUUCCGCAAUGGGCGAAAGCCUGACGGAGAAACGCCGCGUGAGUGAUGAAGGUCUUCGGAUCGUAAAACUCUGUUAUUAGGGAAGAACAAAUGUGUAAGUAACUAUGCACGUCUUGACGGUACCUAAUCAGAAAGCCACGGCUAACUACGUG